UUUUCGCUAGCUUAAGUAAAAGUAUUAGUUUGAAGAGCUAAGGAUAAAUGUAUAUUUGUGGGAAG
rnacentral:tRNA from 1 species